UACAGCCUUACCACACUGAAACACUAGUUCCUGUAUGAUCACCAAAGUUAAGCAACAUUGAGCCUGGUCAGUACCUAGAUAGGUGACUACUUGGGAAUACAGG